UCCAGACUCCUACGGGAGGCAGCAGUGGGGAAUCUUCCGCAAUGGGCGAAAGCCUGACGGAGCAACGCCGCGUGAUCGAAUGAAGGCCUUCGGGUUGUAAAGAUCUGUUGACAGGGACGAAUAAGCGAUGCGAAUAGUUUUGUGUAUGACGGUACCUGUUUAGAAAGCUCCGGCUAACUACGUGCCAGCAGCCGCGGUAAUACGUAGGGAGCAAGCGUUGUCCGGAAUUACUGGGCGUAAAGGGUGCGUAGGUGGUUUGGCAAGUUAGUAGCGUAACUCCGGAGCUUAACUUCGGAACUACUACUAAAACUGUCGGACUUGAGUGCAGGAGGGGCAACUGGAAUUCCUAGUGUAGCGGCGGAAUGCGUAGAUAUUAGGAGGAACACCAGUGGCGAAGGCGAGUUGCUGGACUGUAACUGACACUGAGGCACGAAAGCGUGGGGAGCAAACAGGAUUAGAUACCCGAGUA
rnacentral:rRNA from 1 species